rnacentral:rRNA from 1 species
GACGAACGCUGGCGGCGUGCCUAAUACAUGCAAGUCGAGCGAAGUUUUUCUGGUGCUUGCACUAGAAAAACUUAGCGGCGAACGGGUGAGUAACACGUAAAGAACCUGCCUCAUAGACUGGGACAACUAUUGGAAACGAUAGCUAAUACCGGAUAACAGUAUUUCUCGCAUGAGAGAUAUUUAAAAGUUGGUUAUGCUAACACUAUGAGAUGGCUUUGCGGUGCAUUAGCUAGUUGGUGGGGUAAAGGCCCACCAAGGCGACGAUGCAUAGCCGACCUGAGAGGGUGAUCGGCCACACUGGGACUGAGACACGGCCCAGACUCCUACGGGAGGCAGCAGUAGGGAAUCUUCCGCAAUGGGCGAAAGCCUGACGGAGCAACGCCGCGUGAGUGAAGAAGGAUUUCGGUUCGUAAAGCUCUGUUGUUAGGGAAGAAUGGAUAUGUAGUAACUAUACAUGUAAGAGACGACCUAACCAGAAGCCACGC